rnacentral:snoRNA from 2 species
AGCGACAAUACUUCAGAGAAUCAUUUCUAUAGUAGUUGUCCUCUCUUGUGUUUCCUAAAGGAGCCACAGAUCCCACCCGGGUUGAUGAACGAGAUCCUCGGCGCCAGUGAGGUCCAUUUACUCUCGCUCUACCUGCAAAGGUGGCGGUCGCGUGCCUCGUCUCGCGGCUGUAUAGAGAGUGGCGAUGAUCUGUACCCCGCGGGGUGGGUGUCGAUGGAAGUCUGACCGGC